rnacentral:rRNA from 1 species
CCUACGGGUGGCUGCAGUGGGGGAUAUUGCACAAUGGGGGGAACCCUGAUGCAGCGACGCCGCGUGGGUGAAGGAGUAUUUCGGUAUGUAAAGCUCUAUCGGCAGGGAAGAAGCAAGACGGUACCUGACUAAGAUGCCUCUGCUAACUACGUGCCAGCAGCCGCGGUAAUACGGAGGGGGCGAGCGUUUUCCGGAUCCACUGGGGGUAUAGGGAGCGUAUGCGGGCAUGCAAGCCAGGGGUGAAAGCCCGGGGCCAAACCCCGGGACUGCCCUUGGAACUGUGCGGCUAGAGUGCGGGAGGGGCAGGCGGAAUUCCUGGUGUAGCGGUGAAAUGCGUAGAUAUCAGGAGGAACACCGGCGGCGAAGGCGGCCUGCUGGACCGCGACUGACGUUGAGGCUCGAAAGCGUGGGUAGCGAACAGGAUUAGAUACCCUGGUAGUC